UGUUAUUCAACUACAAGAACCAUC
rnacentral:tRNA from 1 species